GUCAGUGCCUAUGUCCUAACUGAUCGGUUACUGGGUUACAAGAGCUGGGUAAGCUUCUGUGACACAGCUCAGCCCUUUGCAGUCAAGGACUUCCGCAUCACUGGGUCAUUAGUCAUAGGUAUUCCAAGGACUGCAGCAUGCAUUUUUUUGAAGCUGGUAUUACCAAGCAACAGGAGGUACACUUCAUGAUUGUGCAACUGCCAGGCUGAAAGAUGGGGAUCAGAGGCACAAUGGCAAUAGACAUUAUUUGUCAAAGAAACUACUCACUUUUUGUCUUGAGUGAAUAAGCACGAGGAAGAGGAGAGGGGAUUUUGCCCUCCUUGGCCAGUACCUGAAUUUGUCUGAGCAGUUCAUUGUGCUGUUUUCAAGAUGUGGACGCCUGUCAGCCAAGAUUCAGAGAACUGGCUGGAGAAGAUUCAUUGUUUGUGAAACAACAGGCAGCCCUUGUGCUACGUCUAUUGACACAGUGAAACCUUCUUGGAUUGAAAUUUCCUUUGAUAUCAUGUAGACAGGAUUUUCUUAAACAGGCUGCACUCAA